UACGAAGGGGGCUAGCGUUGUUCGGAAUUACUGGGCGUAAAGCGCGCGCAGGUGGUUUUGCAAGUCAGGGGUGAAAGCCCAGAGCUCAACUCUGGAACUGCCUUUGAGACUGUAAGACUUGGGUACGGGAGAGGUGAGUGGAAUUCCGAGUGUAGAGGUGAAAUUCGUAGAUAUUCGGAAGAACACCAGUGGCGAAGGCGGCUCACUGGCCCGUUACCGACACUCAGGCGCGAUAGCGUGGGGAGCAAACAGG
rnacentral:rRNA from 1 species